UACGUAGGGGGCAAGCGUUGUCCGGAAUCAUUGGGCGUAAAGAGCGUGUAGGCGGUCCGGUAAGUCGGCUGUGAAAGUCCAGGGCUCAACCCUGGGAUGCCGGUGGAAACUGUCGGGCUAGAGUCCGGAAGAGGCGAGUGGAAUUCCUGGUGUAGCGGUGAAAUGCGCAGAUAUCAGGAGGAACACCAAUGGCGAAGGCAGCUCGCUGGGACGGUACUGACGCUGAGAC
rnacentral:rRNA from 1 species